rnacentral:rRNA from 1 species
GUCUAGCCAUACCACCCUGAACGUGCCUAAUCUCAUCUGAUCUCAGAAGCUAAGUAAGGUUGGGCCUGGUUAGUACUUGGAUGAGAGACACUUAUUGCCUUUUAAACAAUGUGCUGUAGAGA